GGCGGACGGGUGAGUAACACGUAAGAAUCUACCCUUAGGAAAGGGACAACAAUUGGAAAUGAUUGCUAAUACCUUAUAUGCCAUUUUAAUUGGUGAAAAGUUUAUUCUGCCUAAAGAAGAGCUUGCGGCUGAUUAGCUAGUUGGCAAGGUAACGGCUUACCAAGGCGACGAUCAGUAACUGAUUUGAGAGGAUGAUCAGUCACACUGGAACUGAGAAACGGUCCAGACUCCUACGGGAGGCAGCAGUGGGGAAUUUUCUGCAAUGGGCGAAAGCCUGACAGAGCAAUACCGCGUGAGGGAUGACUGCCCUAUGGGUUGUAAACCUCUUUUUUCAGGGAGGAAGUUCUGACGUUACCUGAAGAAUAAGCAUCGGCUAACUCCGUGCCAGCAGCCGCGGUAAGACGGAGGAUGCUAGUGUUAUCCGGAAUCACUGGGCGUAAAGCGUUUGUAGGUGGUUUAGAAAGUCUGUUGUUAAAUCUUGAGGCUUAACCUCAAAACAGCAAUAGAAACUACUAUGACUUGAGUAUAGUAGAGGUAUAGGGAAUUUCCAGUGGAGCGGUGAAAUGCGUAGAUAUUGGAAAGACCACCAAUGGCGAAGGCACUUUACUGGGCUAUUUACUGACACUGAGAGACGAAAGUUAGGGGAGCAAAUGGGAUUAGAUACCCCAGUAGUCCUAGCUGUAAACGAUGGAUACUAGAUGUUGCAUGUAUCGACCCAUGCGG
rnacentral:rRNA from 1 species